rnacentral:rRNA from 1 species
UGGGGAAUUUUGGACAAUGGGCGAAAGCCUGAUCCAGCAAUGCCGCGUGUGUGAAGAAGGCCUUCGGGUUGUAAGGCACUUUUGUCCGGAAAGAAAUCCUUGGCUCUAAUACAGUCGGGGGAUGACGGUACCGGAAGAAUAAGCACCGGCUAACUACGUGCCGGCAGCCGCGGUAAUACGUAGGGUGCAAGCGUUAAUCGGAAUUACUGGGCGUAAAGCGUGCGCAGGCGGUUUGCUAAGACCGAUGUGAAAUCCCCGGGCUCAACCUGGGAACUGCAUUGGUGACUGGCAGGCUAGAGUAUGGCAGAGGGGGGUAGAAUUCCACGUGUAGCAGUGAAAUGCGUAGAGAUGUGGAGGAAUACCGAUGGCGAAGGCAGCCCCCUGGGCCAAAUACUGACGCUCAUGCACGGAAGCGUGGGGAGCAAACAGGAUUAGAUACCCUGGUAGUCCACGCCCUAAACGAUGUCAACUAGUUGUUGGGGAUUCAUUUCCUUAGUAACGUAGCUAACGCGUGAAGUUGACCGCCUGGGGAGUACGGUCGCAAGAUU